GAUGAACGCUGGCGGCGUGCCUAAUACAUGCAAGUCGAGCGAACAGAUGAGGAGCUUGCUCCUCUGACGUUAGCGGCGGACGGGUGAGUAACACGUGGAUAACCUACCUAUAAGACUGGGAUAACUUCGGGAAACCGGAGCUAAUACCGGAUAAUAUAUUGAACCGCAUGGUUCAAUAGUGAAAGACGGUUUUGCGGUCACUUAUGGAUGGAUCCGCGCCGCAUUAGCUAGUUGGUAAGGUAACGGCUUACCAAGGCAACGAUGCGUAGCCGACCUGAGAGGGUGAUCGGCCACACUGGAACUGAGACACGGUCCAGACUCCUACGGGAGGCAGCAGUAGGGAAUCUUCCGCAAUGGGCGAAAGCCUGACGGAGCAACGCCGCGUGAGUGAUGAAGGUCUUCGGAUCGUAAAACUCUGUUAUUAGGGAAGAACAAAUGUGUAAGUAACUAUGCACGUCUUGACGGUACCUAAUCAGAAAGCCACGGCUAACUACGUGC
rnacentral:rRNA from 1 species